rnacentral:rRNA from 1 species
UACAGAGGUCCCAAGCGUUGUUCGGAUUCACUGGGCGUAAAGGGUGCGUAGGUGGUGAGGUAAGUCGGAUGUGAAAUCUCCGGGCUCAACCCGGAAAUGGCAUUGGAAACUACCUUGCUUGAGGGUUUGAGGGGGGGGAUUGGAAUACUUGGUGUAGCAGUGAAUGCGUAGAUAUCAAGUGGAACACCAGUGGCGAAGGCGAAUCCCUGGAAAAUACCUGACACUGAGGCACGAAAGCUAGGGGAGCA